rnacentral:rRNA from 1 species
CGGAAUUAGAGACCGGCGCACGGGUGCGUAACGCGUAUGCAAUCUACCUUUCACAGAGGGAUAGCCCAGAGAAAUUUGGAUUAAUACCUCAUAGUAUAUAGAGUUGGCAUCAACAUUAUAUUAAAGUCACAACGGUGAAAGAUGAGCAUGCGUCCCAUUAGCUAGUUGGUAAGGUAACGGCUUACCAAGGCAACGAUGGGUAGGGGUCCUGAGAGGGAGAUCCCCCACACUGGUACUGAGACACGGACCAGACUCCUACGGGAGGCAGCAGUGAGGAAUAUUGGACAAUGGGCGCAAGCCUGAUCCAGCCAUGCCGCGUGCAGGAUGACGGUCCUAUGGAUUGUAAACUGCUUUUGCACAGGAAGAAACACUACUUCGUGAAGUAGCUUGACGGUACUGUGAGAAUAAGGAUCGGCUAACUCCGUGCCAGCAGCCGCGGUAAUACGGAGGAUCCAAGCGUUAUCCGGAAUCAUUGGGUUUAAAGGGUCCGUAGGCGGUUUAGUAAGUCAGUGGUGAAAGCCCAUCGCUCAACGGUGGAACGGCCAUUGAUACUGCUAGACUUGAAUUAUUAGGAAGUAACUAGAAUAUGUAGUGUAGCGGUGAAAUGCUUAGAGAUUACAUGGAAUACCAAUUGCGAAGGCAGGUUACUACUAAUUGAUUGACGCUGAUGGACGAAAGCGUGGGUAGCGAACAGGAUUAGAUACCCUGGUAGUCCACGCCGUAAACGAUGGAUACUAGCUGUUGGAAGCAAUUUCAGUGGCUAAGCGAAAGUGAUAAGUAUCCCACCUGGGGAGUACGUUCGCAAGAAUGAAACUCAAAGGAAUUGACGGGGGCCCGCACAAGCGGUGGAGCAUGUGGUUUAAUUCGAUGAUACGCGAGGAACCUUACCAAGGCUUAAAUGUAGAUUGACCGGUUUGGAAACAGACUUUUCGCAGACAAUUUACAAGUGCUGCAUGGUUGUCGUCAGCUCGUGCCGUGAGGUGUCAGUUAAGUCCUAUACGAGCGCAACCCCAGUUGUUAGUUGCCAGCGAGUCAUGUCG